rnacentral:rRNA from 1 species
UACGUAGGGGGCAAGCGUUGUCCGGAUUUAUUGGGCGUAAAGAGCGUGUAGGCGGCCAUACAGGUCAGCUGUGAAAACUCGAGGCUCAACCUCGAGACGUCGGUUGAAACCGUAUGGCUAGAGUCCGGAAGAGGAGAGUGGAAUUCCCGGUGUAGCGGUGAAAUGCGCAGAUAUCGGGAAGAACACCCGUGGCGAAGGCGGCUCUCUGGGAUGGUACUGACGCUGAGACGCGAAAGCGUGGGGAGCGAACAGG